GGGGAUGUUCGAGAGCUGGUGCUCUCCGCGGUCUUCAAAACCGUUUGCGGGGCGCUGUGAGGCGUCCUGGGUGGGUUCGAUUCCCAUCCAUCCCCGCCA
rnacentral:tRNA from 1 species